AACGAUGUACAGAACCAAACUGCUCCCCGCCUUGUCAGAAUGGUGGAAUGUGCUUACGCCCACAUCUUUGUGUGUGCAAAUCUGGUACCAA